GCGCCUAUAGCUUAAAAUGGAUAGAGCACUGGUCACCGAAGCCUGUAAUUCCGGUUCAAGUCCGGAUAGGCGCG
rnacentral:tRNA from 1 species